UACGGAAGGUCCGGGCGUUAUCCGGAUUUAUUGGGUUUAAAGGGAGCGUAGGCCGGGGAUUAAGUGUGUUGUGAAAUGUAGGCGCUCAACGUCUGAUGUGCAGCGCAUACUGGUUCCCUUGAGUACGCGCAACGCCGGCGGAAUUCGUCGUGUAGCGGUGAAAUGCUUAGAUAUGACGAAGAACCCCGAUUGCGAAGGCAGCCGGCGGGAGCGCAACUGACGCUGAAGCUCGAAGGUGCGGGUAUCGAACAGG
rnacentral:rRNA from 1 species